rnacentral:rRNA from 1 species
AGCUCCAAUAGCGUAUACUAAAGUUGUUGCAGUUAAAAAGCUCGUAGUUGAAUUUCUGGUCGUGGCGACCGGUCCGCCCCUCACGGGGUGUGCACCUGGUCUCUGCGUCCAUCCUCGGGGAGAGCGCGUCUGGCAUUCAGUUGUCGGGCGCGGGAUCCUCGUCAUUUACUGUGAGCAAAAUAGAGUGUUCAAAGCAGGCUUAGGCCGUUGAAUACAUUAGCAUGGAAUAAUAAGAUAGGACCUUGGUCUAUUUUGUUGGUUUGCAUUCCAAGGUAAUGAUUAAUAGGGAUAGUUGGGGGUAUUCGUAUUCAAUUGUCAGAGGUGAAAUUCUUGGAUUUAUGGAAGACGAACUACUGCGAAAGCAUUUACCAAGGAUGUUUUCA